rnacentral:rRNA from 1 species
UAGGUAGCUUAACCUCCGGGAGGGCGCUUACCACUUUGUGAUUCAUGACUGGGGUGAAGUCGUAACAAGGUAACCGUAGGGGAACCUGCGGUUGGAUCACCUCCUUA